UCCAAUUUACGGCGUAUCGAAUAUUAUUUUGAAUUGAAAAUCAAACAGAUGCUAUGAAAGAAUAUUGAUUGUAUUGGAAAUAAUGAAUAAAUUCAUUAAGAAAGGAAGAAGGAAUGGUUGACAUUUGAGGAGAAACAAAGCCUGAUGAUCAAUCAUGAAUUGUUGGAGAACUCAAACAUCUCCCAAAAAGGGAAGUAAAAAAAUUCCUAUGUACCUUAUUUUCAGUUUUAGAUGAAGAAGGUGAAUGGGGGGCAAUUCCAUCAUCAUCAUGUAACCUUCUUCUUCCUACAAUGUUACUUUGCAAUUGUGACACAUUAUCUUCCUUGGUUGUUUUGUUCUUCCCCGUGGAUGAGGCAGCAACAUUAGUAGUACCCUUUGGUUCUAUGAAUUGCAAAUGAUCUUGCCAUAUCUUCCCAGAAGAUCCUUGUCUUCGAAAUGAAAAAGAUGAUCUCUGCAAAGUGUUCAUGAUUUUAGAAUUUCCUCCAAUCUGUUAUUUUAUGAAGAAAAAAACACCCUUCUUUCAAUAAACGGAUUACAUAACUGAUUUUGAUUAGGAAAGAUGAUUGCAU
rnacentral:lncRNA from 1 species